rnacentral:tRNA from 1 species
AGGAUUUUAGUUUAAUCAUAAAACUUUAAUAUUGCAUAUUAAAAAUAAAAUAAAUUUUAUAUCUUA